rnacentral:rRNA from 1 species
AAUUUUGUACAAUGGGGGAAACCCUGAUCCAGCCAUCCCGCGUGUAUGAUGAAGGCCUUCGGGUAAUAAAGUACUUUUGGCAGAGAAGAAAAGGUAUCUCCUAAUACGAGAUACUGCUGACGGUAUCUGCAGAAUAAUCACCGGCUAACUACGUUCCAGUAGCCGCGGUAAUAAGUAGGGUUCAAGCGUUAACCGGAAUUACUGGGCGUAAAGCGUGUGUAGGCGGUUCGGAAAGAAAGAUGUGCAAUCCCAGGGCUCAACCUUGGAACUGCAUUUUUAACUGCAGAGCUAGAGUAUGUCAGAGGGGGGUAGAAUUCCACGUGUAGCAGUGAAAUGCGUAGAUACGUGGAGGAAUACCGAUGGCGAAGGCAGCCCCCUGGGAUAAUACUGACGCUCAGACACGAAAGCGUGGGGAGCAAACA